AUGGCCUGCAGCGAACGUGUGGGUUCAUCAAUAUUUUCUCCAUGUGUGAGUGUGAUGCUUCGUCGCUCCCACCAAGUAUACCACACGACCACAGAUCCUCCAUCCCUCUCCUGCAUGCACAAGUCAUUCACCAUACCUCAAAGGUCUAGGAUACACAAGAUCUCACACACCCUCGGGCAUAAGAAGAAAGCAUGGCGUAUCCUCUCACAAUCAGUUGUGCACAGAAGACAUCGAGAGGUUGAUUUUAUGACGGUUGGCCAAGACUCCACAGAAGAUUCGCCGCUGAACGACGGUGCUGAUCCCCAACGGCUGCUCAUCCCCUCCCCAACACCGCGCCCGGUGGCAUCCUCGUCUGAUCCGGCGGCAACGGCGAGGCGGUGGAUUUGGGGGCUUGGUCGGCCUCUUGCUCGCCGACGACCAGCAUCUGGUCAACGUGUCUAG
rnacentral:rRNA from 1 species